rnacentral:rRNA from 1 species
UACGGAGGGAGCUAGCGUUGUUCGGAAUUACUGGGCGUAAAGCGCACGUAGGCGGCGAUUCAAGUCAGAGGUGAAAGCCCGGGGCUCAACCCCGGAACUGCCUUUGAAACUAGAUUGCUAGAAUCCUGGAGAGGUGAGUGGAAUUCCGAGUGUAGAGGUGAAAGUUCGUAGAUAUUCGGAAGAACACCAGUGGCGAAGGCGACUCACUGGACAGGUAUUGACGCUGAGGUGCGAAAGCGUGGGGAUCAAACAGG